CAACAAACUGCACUGUCAUAUGAAAACUAUGUGAUUUAUAUAUUUGAUUCCCAUUUGUCCUCUAUUUUUAUGCUGUUGGGGGAAACUCCUAAAAAUCCAUCACAGAUGUAGUAAGGAUUAAAAAAAAUAGGAGGAAUUCAAUUAUUUAAUAAGGGCAAUCAAUCAUAUAAAAUGUUUCCAUGCAACUUCCUGAAAUGGUAUUUGCCUUAAGUAACCUAUUAAGAAGGGUGGGAAAACAGUCAGCCAACAGAACAGACACUGUUUUAGGCAGAUGAAAAUCCCAUCACCUCCAAUAAUUUAAAGAUUUGGUGUUGCCUGUCCUUUUCCCUUUCUGAAGCUACUGCAACAUCAUAGAUCCAGAGAUUGGGCUUCAACUGGGACAGCACAGUGGCUAAGAGACUGGGCUACAAAUCACCUUUGCAUCCUGCAUCUACCAAGAACUCACAAGGUAGCCUCAAGAAGCUUUUCUUCCUCAGUCUCAACUUCCCCUUUUCAGUCAACAGCACAGAUAUAAGGAGCUACUCUAAAAAAGAACCUGUGGCAGCUACAAGGGAUUAGGAUGACCCACAAGCCACUUUUGCCAGCUGAAUCUACUUUCUUCUGCAAAUACCUGAUAGCAGAGAGAUCUGACAGAUUAAAAAUCCGGAGAUGGCACUUCCUGGAAUGCAGUUUUGACUUCAACAUCACUUGUCCACAUGGGCAGUGUGGAAACCACCAUCAAAGACUCCUCUGUGCAGGUUGAUUUAAGAAGAAAUAAAAGAGAAAUGGAAGACCUGCCCUUCUCCACAAC